AUGCUAACCUCGGAGGCUAACCGGGAGUUCCAGGCCAAAGAGAGGAAAUACAAAGCCCAGCUGAAGAGAUGUCUGUCUGCUGCUCUGGCCCAAGACCUCCUCAGGCUGCUGCAGGAGGAGCUGGAGUCUGAUGUGUGCGUGUGCAGCGGCCCGAGUUCCCUGAAGGCUCACCGAGCGCUGCUAUUGGCCAGAGCUCCUCACCUCCUCUCAGCCCCUCCCCCCCUCCUCCCGGGGCCCGAGGGGGACGGGGAGAACGUCCAUGUGUCCGGCCUGGACCCCGCGGAGCUCACACAGCUGCUCAGGACGGUGUACACCUCAGAGCAGAGCCUGGUGGGCCCCCCUGGACCCGGACCCCCCGGGACCAGCUCCCCUGGUGGGGGGCCGGACCCCGACGGACCCCCGGAACCAGGUACCAGACCCUCUGCACCGGGGCCGUACCUGCUGGACUCACCUGUCUGCCUGUCUGUCUGUCUGUCUGUCUGUCUGUCUGUCUGUCUGUCUGUCUGUCUGUCUGUCUGUCCUCCAUUUUAA
rnacentral:lncRNA from 1 species